AUACCGGGUCUCACACUGUCACCGAGGCUGGAGUACAGUGGCACAACCUCUGCUCACUGCAGCCUCCACCUGCCAGGCUCAAGCAAUUCUCCUGCCUCAGCCUCCCGAGUAGCUGGGAUUACAGGAAGUGAGCUCACAAUGACUCAAGCUGCCACAUACUGUUGAUUGUGAAAUGCCAGUUGAAGCAUAUGUCCUGCGAGCUUAGGGGUGCUACAAGUUGACCACUGCAGCAGUAAAGAUGACUCUGAAGAAUGGCGUGGGAUGGUUCCUUUCAAAUGCACUUGAGCAGCGGUCUCCAACCACAGGGCCACAGAGCUGGAGCUGGAUCUACCAUGAAAGACUUGUGAAUCCAGGAAGAGAGACUGACUGGGCAACAUGUUAUUCAGAAUCUCCCUGUGCCAUCCAGGCUGGAGUGCAGUGAUGUGAUCAUAGCUCACUAUAGCUUUGGCCUUCUGAGAUCAAGCAAUCCUCCCAUCUCAACCUCCCAAGUAGCUAGGACUACACAUGCAUGUCACCCAUGCCCAGAUCAUUUUUGUAGAGUCAGAGUUUCACCGUGGUGGCCAGGUUGGCCAUGUUGGCCAGAUGGGGUCUUCUUUUGUUGCCCAGGCUGGCCACAAAUUCCUGGGCUCAAGUUAUCCUCCCACCUCGUCCUUGUAGAGAUGAGAUUUAGUUAUGUCGUCCAGGCUGAUCUCAAACUCCUGGGCUAAAUCGAUUGUCUCACCUCAGCCUCUCAAGUAUGUUAUGAAGGUUAUAUGUUAGGAAGGGUCCCAGGAGGUAGACCCACACAGAUGGGAUUUGGGCAUAGGUUUGGUUUCCCAGGGGGCAGUGCUGAGCUCUUUGCCAGUGGGAAAUGGGAUGCUGGUGAUUUCCAGUAGGUGACCUCACAGUGACUCAAGCUACCACUUACUGUUGAUUGUGACGAAAUGCCAGCUGAGGCACAUGCCUUGGGAGCUAAGUGGUUGCUGCCCUUGACCACUGUGAAGACUGGUGUGGGAAGGGUCGUUUUGGAUGCACUUGAGCAGGGGUCCCCAACCCCUGAGCCAUGGAGCCGCAAGGAGCCACACAGCAGGAGGUGGGAACAUCCAGUUGCAGGAAAACAAGCUUAACACGCCCACUGAUUCUACAUUAUGCUCCUACCUCCCGGCAGCCUCUCCAGGCCCAGAACUUUCUCCAGUCAGCCUCUACAGACCAAGCUCAUGACUCACAAUGGCCUAUUUAGGCCCAUACCCUACGUCACGGCAGCCUCCGCAGAUGAGGCUACUGCCUCACAACAGCCUCCACAGGCACAGCUCCAUCGUUACAAUGGCCUCUUUAGACCCAGCUCCUGCCUCCCAGCCUUCUCUCCAGGCCCUGAACAUUCUCAGGUCUCCCUCUGUUGUCCAAGGCUGGAGUGUAGUAGUGCUAUCGCAGCUGACUGCAGCCUCAACCUUCCAGGCUGAAGCGAUCCUCCCACCUCAACCUCCCACGUGGCUGAGACUACAGGUGCUUGCCACUAUGCCCAACUAAUAUUUGGAAUUUUCGUAUACGUGGAUUCCAGAGGGGUGACAGCGAAACGUGAGUAAGCAUGGA
ensembl:lncRNA LINC01001 long intergenic non-protein coding RNA 1001